UGGGGCAUCGUCCAAUGGUUAGGACACGGGAUUUUGGUUCCCGUGAUGGGGGUUCGACUCCCUCUGCCCCAGCCA
rnacentral:tRNA from 1 species